rnacentral:rRNA from 1 species
GUAGGUGGCGAGCGUUGUCCGGAAUUAUUGGGCGUAAAGCGCGCGCAGGCGGUUCUUUAAGUCUGAUGUGAAAGCCCACGGCUCAACCGUGGAGGGUCAUUGGAAACUGGAGAACUUGAGUACAGAAGAGGAAAGCGGAAUUCCACGUGUAGCGGUGAAAUGCGUAGAGAUGUGGAGGAACACCAGUGGCGAAGGCGGCUUUCUGGUCUGUAACUGACGCUGAGGCGCGAAAGCGUGGGGAGCAAACAGGGAUUAGAUACCCUGGUAGUCCACGCCGUAAACGAUGAGUGCUAAGUGUUAGGGGGUUUCCCGCCCCUUAGUGCUGCAGCUAACGCAUUAAGCACUCCGCCUGGGGAGUACGGCCGCAAGGCUG